CAUACUUGAUAUUGAUUCUGGAAGUGGAAACUCCUUCAGUAGAUUUUUCCUUUCACAAUAGUUUUUACUAUAUUCAUAUGAACGUGUAAAUAAGCCACUAACUCUUCAGCUAAAGUACACUUCUCCCCAUGGAAGCAACCUUGCUAAGAAUAUAAAAUAUACUGGAUUAAGGUCUGAGAAUAUAGACGUUGCACGAACAGAACAGAUUACGUGGGCCCUGCAUAUACCAUAAUACAAAAUCAGCUCAAUACACAAAUCACAAGUUUAAACGGUCUAAAUGGAAAUAGGAACUUGUGCAUUCAUACAAUAAAAACACUGUUUUCUCUACUCCAGUUACUUAAUUUGCAGCCUGCUAUGCAUAUGUUCUUCAUUGCUCCUUUAGAUAUAUGCUCUUUCACUCCCAUAUUUGAUGCUAAAUAAAAUGUUAAAACUUUUCGGUGAAUAGUUAAAGGAAUUUUCGUCCAUUUUAGUGGUUACCUCUCGCAUAAAUAGGAAGAAUAUAAGGACCUAUCUAGAAACAAUAUAUUUUGUUCAAACAUAUAGCUUUCCUCAAGUUCAAGAGUUAAUAGAGGAACUUGCAAUUCCUUUUGGUAUAAAUAUAUGCCUCCUUCACCAAAUAAUUGACUAUGUGGACUACGUAGCACAAUGCACUAGCUACUUCUUAAAUUCAUGAAAUCUAAAUUCUUUAUUGCACCUCAAAAUGAUGUCUAAAAAGGGAAAUAAAAUGCAAAUUAAAGUAAAAAUGAGAUAAUUUAGGCAUAGUUGGUUCAAUAUUUGAAAGGAAGAUGAAACCAUAUUUACUACGCUGUUACUCUACUUUGGGUACCUGAAGCUGGAGCAGUCUCAUCACUUGCCUUUUUGAGGCCUUAAGAGAUUUUUAUGAUAGUGUUGCUCCACAUC
rnacentral:lncRNA from 1 species